CGCGUAGACGGCUUUUUAAGUCUGGAGUGAAAGUCCUGCUUUCAAGGUGGGAAUUGCUUUGGAGACUGGAAAGCUUGAGUGCGGAAGAGGUAAGUGGAAUUCCCAGUGUAGCGGUGAAAUGCGUAGAGAUUGGGAAGAACACCAGUGGCGAAGGCGACUUACUGGGCCGUAACUGACGUUGAUGCGCGAAAGCGUGGGGAGCGAACAG
rnacentral:rRNA from 1 species